UUAACACAUGCAAGUCGAACGAUGAACUGGAGCUUGCUCCAGGGAUUAGUGGCGAACGGGUGAGUAACACGUGAGUAACCUGCCCUUGACUCUGGGAUAAGCGCUAGAAAUGGCGUCUAAUACCGGAUACGAGCUUCAGCCGCGUGGCUAGGAGUUGGAAAGAAUUUUGGUCAAGGAUGGACUCGCGGCCUAUCAGCUAGUUGGUGAAGUAAUGGCUCACCAAGGCGACGACGGGUAGCCGGCCUGAGAGGGUGCCCGGCCACACUGGGACUGAGACACGGCCCAGACUCCUACGGGAGGCAGCAGUGGGGAAUAUUGCACAAUGGGCGAAAGCCUGAUGCAGCAACGCCGCGUGAGGGAUGACGGCCUUCGGGUUGUAAACCUCUUUUAGUAGGGAAGAAGCGAAAGUGACGGUA
rnacentral:rRNA from 1 species